UGAAAAACAUGUCCAUGUGUCUUCGAAUGCGUUCGUAUACAUUCGCAUAUGCACUCAUACAUAUUUUGUAUAUGGAAUGUCGUAUUAAAUUUGUUCACCUUGAAUCUUAAAUACUUGGCGCUGUUUCCUACUUUAUUACUCACAUGGAACGACCCAAAAUUACCAGGUUGAUUCCACUUUAUUAUCAUAAACAUCACUUAUGAAGGGCCUUAUCCGUACGGUAAUAAGCAAAUAUAUCCUGUUAUCAUACAUACGCAUACAAAUGAUACAAAUCACUGCGACCUCCGAAGCUAAAUCUACUUACUCUAUCGAACUUUUUUUUAUCCCUACUGUAUAAAAACCUCGCUACUCAUUUAUGCUUUAAUAUAUUGAAGUCUAAUUUAGUUUUUAACAAAAGGUCGUCGUGAUUAAUAUUCUUGUAAUCAUUACAAUGUCACUGAGUAUGGUUUAUGGAAUGUCGUCAUAUCAAUUUACCUCCUUUGACGUAUUAUGCUGUAUUUUUACUCAAGUAUCCAUUCUCUACGCACACAAUUACACUGAAUGGCUAAAUGUUCCGUUAAAAUCAGUUGGAAACUUAAUGAUUUUAGCUCGAACUUUAUUUAAAAUUGAUAUUCUUGAAAA